UACGUAGGGUGCAAGCGUUAUCCGGAAUUAUUGGGCGUAAAGAGCUCGUAGGCGGUUUGUCGCGUCUGCUGUGAAAACCGGAGGCUCAACCUCCGGCCUGCAGUGGGUACGGGCAAACUAGAGUGCGGUAGGGGAGAUUGGAAUUCCUGGUGUAGCGGUGGAAUGCGCAGAUAUCAGGAGGAACACCGAUGGCGAAGGCAGAUCUCUGGGCCGUAACAGACGCUGAGGAGCGAAAGCGUGGGGAGCGAACAGG
rnacentral:rRNA from 1 species